rnacentral:rRNA from 1 species
UACCAGCACCCCGAGUGGUCGGGACGUUUUAUUGGGCCUAAAGCAUCCGUAGCCGGUUCUACAAGUCUUCCGUUAAAUCCACCUGCUUAACAGAUGGGCUGCGGAAGAUACUAUAGAGCUAGGAGGCGGGAGAGGCAAGGCGGGUACUCGAUGGGUAGGGGUAAAAUCCGUUGAUCCAUUGAAGACCACCAGUGGCGAAGGCGGCUGCCAGAACGCGCUCGACGGUGAGGGAUGAAAGCUGGGGGAGCAAACCGGG